rnacentral:lncRNA from 1 species
CCUCAAAUGGAGUGAAAGCUUUGAUGUUGGGGAGAGGACCUUCCAACUGAUUGUAGGAUAUAUCAACAACUGUCAGGCUUAUCAGAUCAUCAAAAGUGUGUGGGAUGGUGCCAGAGAGCCCGUUAUGGGAGAGAUUCAACGUUUCCAGGUUCUUUAAUUCUCCAAGCAGCGGUGGAACCUCUCCUGUCAACAUAUUUUGACUAAGAUCGAGACUUUCAAGAUUUUGCAUCUUUCCAAUUUCGUCAGGAAUGCUAUCCACAAAUCUAUUCUCGCUCAAGUUGAAGAACUGUAAUUUCAAGAAGUUUCCCAGCUGUUUGGGAAUUGGACCGCUUAAGUUGUUUGAUGCCAAGUUAAGAAUUUCAAGAUUGGAUAAGUUUCCCAAUUCCAAAGGAAUACUGCUUGAAAGAUUGUUGUCUCCUAACAACAAUUUGAACAAUAAUGGCAACAUUCCCAACUCUUUUGGGAUCUUCCCACUUAGAUGAUUGGCGGAGAGAUCAAGUUGUUGCAGUUGAAUUGCUUUCCCAAGUUGAGGCGGUAUAGCACCAGAAAUAUUGUUGUUGGAGAUGUUCAGGCUUGUGAGCAUGUGGCACUGCCCCCAUUUCUCAGAAAGCUCACCAUAAAAAUUGUUGCUGCUUAGAUCAAUAUAAUUUAGGGUCGGGUACACACCAAAACUUUCGGCUAUGUCUCCCGUCAGUUGGUUUCUUUCAAGCCUAACUCUGAAUAAACUAGUGCAAUUUUUCAAGCUUUUUGGAAUAGGACCAGUGAAAUGGUUUCCCAUAGCCGUAAAGUUUUCAAGAACACUACCAAGGCAUAUCUCUUGUGGUAGUUGGCCAAUGAAGUUGUUCUCAGAUAACUGUAAAGAUUUCAAAUGAGUGAUAUUAUUCAUUUCAAGAGGAAUGGCACCACUAAGCUCGUUGUGAUUAAGGAACAAAAAGGUUAAGCUAGACAAGUUUCCUAUGGAAGCUGGUAUUGAACCGUUAAGAUUGUUGAAUGACAAGUCAAGAUCAUAAAGCAAUCUCAACAAUCCAAUUUCUUGAGGUAUUGAACCAGAAAGCUCGUUCUCAAAAAGAUAUAAAGUGGUUAAGUUCCUCAAGUUACCUAUGGAAGGAGGGAUUGGACCAGUGAGAUUGUUAUGUGAUAAUUGAAGAUCAUUAAGAGAUCUUAACAAUCCAAUUUUUUGAGGGAUGGAACUAGAAAGCUCGUUCUUAAAAAUAUGCAAAGUGGUUAAGUUUCUCAAGUUUCCUAUGGAAGGAGGGAUUGGACCAAUGAGAUUGUUAGAUGACAACUCAAGAGUGAGAAGGUUAGGGAGUGAAGAGAAAUUGAGAUUGUGGAGUGUACCUCUCAAACAGCAACUGUGAAGGUCUAAAUCGGAGACACUUCCUGACUUGUGACAAGUCACUCCAAACCAAUGAUGGCAAGAAUUGCGUCCAGACCAAGAAGAGAGGAAAGAUUGGGUUUGAUUAUCAAGACUGGCCUUCCAUGUUAGAAGAGUGAGUGCUUCUUGAUCUUGUUCAACUUUCAAAAGAGAAGUGGUAGGGGUAGAGGCAGAAGUAAAAGUGACAUGGAAUAAUGAUAUUGAGUAUAGAAAUAAAAGGAUGAAUAUGAAGAAGCAAGGAGUGAUGAUGAGUUGGCGGAGUAAGGAGAAAGAUGAAGAAUAUUCAAGGCCCAUUAUUGAAUUGGUAGAAAUGAAGAUGAAACACUUAUUUAUAGACUUAAAUGUGAUACAUCCAACAUUUCCAUUAGUUGAUGUUGACAUCUAACCACCUACUUCGUCUACGAUUAAUGGAACUAAAAAGGAUUAUAUACAUGAGUUCAAUUCCACACUUAUUUUAUUUUAUUUUAUCAAAAUGCUCUUAAUUUUUUAAUUAAAAUUUACACCUACAAUUACAUAUGAAAUAAUUAAAAUAUUUCUUUUUCACUUCGUGCACUUUUAAAUAUAACUUGUUUAAAAUUAAUAAUUACAAUUCAUUUUAAGAAGUAGGGACAAAAUAUGCCCACGUCAACAACCUAGUUGAUAUAGGAAGUCCACUUCAACCAACAUUACUUGUACAUAUGUCUUUAUAUAAAACACUUAAUGUAUUUUUUUUUUUCAAAAAUUCAUAAAUAUAAACGUAAUUUUAUUUACAACAAAGUUGCUAUAUUCCUAUACUAAAUUUUAUAAAAAUGACAUUUAAAACUUUAAUUUUCUUAAUCUAUUUUUUAAAUAAUAUUGUAAUGAAAGAAAAAGGGAAGAAGAAGUAUAUAUAUAUGUGUGUGUGUGUGACUAAAUCGAGAGAGAGAGAGAGAGAGAGAGAGAGAGAGAGAGAGAGAGAGAGAGAGAGAGAGAGAGAGAGAGAGAGAGAGAGAGAGAGAGAGAGAGAGAGAGAGAGAGAGAGAGAGAGAGAGAGGAAAAUAAGAAAAUUGAAUAACUAAAUAGAUAAAUGAAAUUCAAUCACUUUAAGAAGUUUACACCUAUUCACCAAAAAAUAGAAAAUGGGUAAAUAGUAAAUACAAGAAAAUUAGAAAUUCAAUUACUCCUGAAAAUGAUGAUUGACCAUGCCUUAUAGGAUUUGAAAUCUUUAACAAAACUCAAUAUCAAUUUUAAGCAUCAAUGAAUGAAAUAAUAAUAAUAAUAAUCAUAUGGGGCUUAGGUCAUAAAUUUUAUUUCAAAAUCAUUUAAGAUAUAAAUCAAUUAAAACUAAAUUUUUAAGUUUAUAAAUUUUAAAUUCCUCCCUUACUCACUAUUUGGAUUAAUAAUCAAAUUGCUUAGGUCAUAAAUUUUAUUUCAAAAUCAUUUAAGAUAUAAAUCACUUAAAACUGAAUUUUUAAGUUUAUAAAUUUUAAAUUCCUCCCUUAAUGUUUGGAUUGAAUUCUUUUAACUAUUUUGCCCUAUGAGAAAUAAACUCUUUUUAACUCUAUUAGUUCUUUCAUAAUUUUUAUCCUUACAAUAUGAACUAUAUUAUUUCUCUUAAUAUUUUAUAGAUCAUUUAUGGUAUAUUUUAAAACCAAAUUAGUUGUCAUUUCUUCUAUUUCUUUCCUAGACAAAUGCAUGAUUUGUGGUCGAUGUUUAUCAUUUUUAUUAAAGGUUUUUGCACUCAUUUGUAAGUGAGACCCAUCACCUAUGAAAAAUAUAGACAUCUUUUUUUUUUUUUUUUUCAUUUGGCAGUCUUAAGGAAUUAGUAUUUGGACAAAAACAAGGACUAAGGACUACCAAAUUUUCACUUUGUUGUACAUCCAAAUAAGACACACAAUCAUUUAUGUAUUGUCUAUUUUAGGCCCAAGGAGCUCUCAAGGUUUUAAAAUGCAUCUCUAAGGUUAAGAGUAACCCAACAUAUAUAUCGUUAUGAACUUUGUUCUCUAUCCGAUGUGGGAUGUUAUAAAAGUUGUUCAACAGGAUUAAUACAUUUGUGAAGCUCAGAAGAAUCACAAAAAUCAAAGGAAAAUCUUUUAAGCAUUACAACAUAAAAGAUGCAGGACCCAACCACACAUGCAUUUUCCUUAUCAAACAAUUGUCUUGACAAGCCAUUCUAACCCCACUUGGCUUGCCAUCACUAGUGAUGGACCUACAUCAUUCAAAUUCUCAAUGCUCUUUGAAGGCAAUAUGCGCUUGAAGUCAAAAGAGCUUCGAAUUUUUGUUAGAUAGUUCAUCUUUGCUAUUUGGGAACAUAUUUUCCUUUUCUCUUUUUGUUCUCUUUUUUUUAUUAAUAGAAAGUUUACCCUUCUAGAGUGUAAAAUCCUCUUCAACUUUGCAAUUAGAGUUAAUACAUCUCGUAUUCAAUUCAAUCCUCGUCUUUUUUGACCUCCUAAAUUCUAAACCUUGUCUGGGUUUUCCAGUUUUGUGAAAAAUUACAUCAUGGGGACCUAACAGGAUGGGAUUUGAUUCAAUGUUAAAGAGAAAAUUUUGGAAAAAUCUGCAAAACCCUCAACAGUUGUGGCCAUAGCUCAACACCAAGAUGGGAAUUUACAAUCUAAUAAUGUUGAUGAAUGGUUCAUAGACUGCUCUACAAAACUAGAGUUUGUCGGAAUGCUUUGCCUUUGUUGAAAGAUGUGAAGGUCCUCACAUUCUUGAGCAGGAAGAACCUAGGUCCAAAGUAAUCAGAAAAGGAUAAGAACGCCUAGAUCAUUUCACACUGAAUCACUUUACUCUAGCUACUCUGGUUAAACGGAUUCAUCCCAGAGAAACCCUGUGAAGAUAGCAGCCUUGUUUUAGUUAUAAAAAGAAGAAAUAUGAUCAUUACUUUUGUACAAACAAUGAUAUUUAUUUAGUAAUGUUUACAUAUUCUUAGCAUGUAAAAAGAAGUAGACUUAAACGUUUAAGAACAUUUAGAUACCGGUUUAAGCAAAUAUAUUAUUCAAAGUUAUACAUAUAGCUCUAUUAGAUUUAAGUUAAAUAAAGUUAAGAGUCAAAAUUUAUAUUAAGAAACAAAUGUUACCUGAGAGUAAUUCCUCUUACAUUGUAGCAGAACUAAAAAAAAAAAAAUUAAUUCCUUCAAUAGAAUUUAUAUGAAAACUUCAUUUAUUUUGUGCAUGCAUUAAAAUAAUGAUUUGACUUGAAUUUAUUAACAAACUAAAACAAAAAUUAUUUGUAUUAUUUAUAUAUCAUUAUUAAAAAUUACAUAUUUGGAUAUGAAUAUAGAAUUCCCUUUCUAAUUACAAGUUUUUAAUCAAAACUUUUGUUGUCUUUGAUAGGGUGGAAAUAUUGUUACAUUCCUAAUUCAUAUCAACAAUUGUGUGGAAAAGUCAUUGCAUUCCUAAUUGUUGUCAAUAAUUGUGUGGAGAAGUUGUUGCAUUACUAAUUCUUAUCAACAAUUGCUUUAAAAUUUUUGCUAAAUAAUCCAAGUUCUAGAAAUUAUUGAACUAUCCAUGUUUACUCAAUGACAAGUCUAAAAAUUUAUAAAAAUAAUUUAGAAGUCUAUAACUAACUCAAAUAGUACUAUAGUCCAGGACCCAAAACUUUCUUAGUACAUAAUGUUGAAAAUCUACCAAAUUUUACCAAAUCUUUUCUAUACAAGCCAAAAUUGAAUCAAGUUGAAUUGGAUUCUUUAGUUUCGUUUCAAAUAUACUAAAAUUUAUUAAAAAUAACUAGAGGUAAAGAUUCUUAAUGAAACCAUUCCAAAAUUGAAACUAUGUAAACAUUAUUAACUGGACCCACAAUCUAUUGAAAUAACACAUGGAAAACUUACCAAUUGAUCUUGUUUAAACUUCCUAUUACAAUUUUUUUUUUAAAUAAAUAAAUAAAUAAAUCCCUAGACGGGACUGAAUAUGUGAGGCUCAGAAGAAUCAUAAAAAUCAGACGAAAAUCUUUUGGGCAUUACCACAUAAAAGAUGCAGGACCACACAUGCAGUUUUCUUAUCAACCAGUCAUCUUGACAACCCACUUUGAAGCCCACUUGGGCUUGCCAUCACCAUUGAUGGACUUACAUCAUUCAAAUUUUCAAUGAUCUUUAAACGCGAUAUGUGCUUCAAGUUGAAAAGGAUUGUAGUUUUUGUAAGAUUGUUCGCCUUUGCUAUUUGGGAACUCAUUUUUCUUUUUCUCUUUUUUUUCCAUUUUUUUUUCAUAGAACGUUUACCCUCCUUGAAUUUAAAAUCCUCCGUUCUCUGUUCAGAUUUCAGCUUUGUAAUUGGAAUCAAUAGAUCUCAUAUUCAAUUCAAUCCAAGUGUUUUUCUGGCCUCCUAAAUCCUAAACCCUAUCUGGGUUUUCCAUUUUUGUGAAAAAUUAAAUCACCAGGUCCGGGGCCCAACAGGAUGGGAUUAUAUUCAAUGUUAGAGACAAAAUUUUGUAAAAGUAUAUCUACAAAACCCCCUCAACAGUUGUGGCCAUAGCUCAAGACCAAAAUGGGAAUUUACAAUCUAAUAAUGCUGAUGAAUGCUUCAUUGACUGCUCUAUCAUACUAGACUUUAACUGAAUGCCUGUCAUUUGUCGAAAGACAUGAAGUUCCUCACAUGUAGAUAUGAACAUAAAAUUCCCUUUUCAACUGCACACAUUUGUAAUCAAGACUUUUGUUGUCUUUAAUAGAGUGGAAAAGUCAUUGCUUUACUAGUUCUUAUCAAUAAUUGUUUUCAAGGAAUCUAGACCCAAUAUUCAUAUCAUCAAUGGUAGCCAUCAAUUAUCCUAGUUGAUGUGAGUGGUAUAAUCAAGGUAAAGUAUAUAUGAGCUUGAUGUAUUAAAUCUGACUGUUAAAAUAGAAAGUGAGGAUUGAAUCCAUUGUAUUAAGGCUAAGUAGGGUAUUUUACCUAGAUUAUUUUUUUUUUCUUUUUAAAAGGUAAAAUUUGUAUUAAAACUUCAUCUAUGUCAAGGCAUAGCACAAAUGAAGGGUGGCAUGCUUUCAUGUAGAAAUAAAAUAGAAUUUCAUUUUCUAAAUAGGGUAUUUUACCAUUGUUGUAAAUAAUUUCUUUUACUUCUUCCUUCCUGAGAGUCAAGAACUCGAAGAUAUUUGCUUCCCAAUAUUUCCCAUCCAAUCAUUCCCAUCAAUUCUUCGUGAAGGAUUGGCUUGUAAGAGACGGAUUUUAUUUUAUUUUUUAAAGUAUUUAAAUAGAAACAUGCAAUAAAAUGAUUAUAUUUUUCUUUAAUUUUAUUUUGGUUUCCAAAAUCAUUAUUUCUCAAAUAUAUUAUUUUAAUUAUAUCAAAUAAGAAUAUAUAAUUAUCAUUUCUUAAGAUAGUAUUGUUAAAUUACCAAUCUUUAAAAAUUUCAUUACGGUAACAAAUGUUUAAAAAAAAUUAUUACCAUUUUUUUUAAAACUAUUAGUCUUGAAAUAAUUUGUUUUAAUUGUAUAAAAAGAAGAAAGAUGAUAAUUAUUUUUGUAUAGACAAUGGUAUUUAGUUAGUCAUUUUUAGAUAUUCUUAACAUGUAAAAAGAAGUAGACUUAACAUUUAAGAACAUUUAGAUACCACUUUAAACAAAUAUAUUAUUCAAAAUCAUACAUCUAGCUCUAUUACAUUUAAGUUAAAUAAUGUUAGUCAAAAUUCAUAUUAAAAAAAAAUGAUACCUAAGAGUAAUUCCUAUGACAUUAUAACAUGAACUAAAAAAAAAAAUUCCUUAAGUAGAAUUUAUAUGAAAACUUCAUUUAUUUUAAGCAUGCAUUAAAAUAAUGGUUUAUCUUGAAUUUAUUAACAAACUAAAAAAAAUAAAUUAUUUGUAUUGUUUAUCAUUAUUAAAAAAGAUGUCUUACUUUUCAAUUAAAAUUACAUAUUUAGAAAUGAAUAUAGAAUUCCCUUUCCAAUUGCAAGUUUUUAGUCAAAACUUUUGUUGUCUUUGAUAGGGUGGAAAAAUUGUUACAUUCCUAAUUCGUAUCAACAAUUGUGUGGAAAAGUCAUUGCAUUCCUAAUCCUUGUCAAUAAUUGUGUGGAAAAGUUGUUGCAUUACUAAUUCUUUUCAACAAUUUCUUUCAAGGAAUCUAUACCCAAUAUUCAAAUUAUCAAUAGUAGAUGUCAAUGAUCCUAAUUGAUGUGAGUCAUCUAAUCAAAGUGAAGUGUACAUGAACUUCAUCUAUUAAAUCUUAGUAUUAACAUAAAAAGUAACAAUGGAAUCCUUUGCAUCAAGGCUUAAGGAACAGUAAUUAUAAUGCUAGGAAUCUAGAUUAAUUUUCUUAAGUAUAAAGUAAGUCCAUACCUUUUGUAUAAAAGUUUCUACUUUUAUAUAAAAAUUUCUACUUUUUUUUAAAUAAAAUAUAUUCAAAUGAAACCUAAAUACUUAAAUAAAAAAUAUAUCAAAUAAUAACAUUUAAUUUAAACUAGUAAUUAAAAAUGAUAAAAAACUUAUAAGCAAAAAACUAUACUCAAUAAAGAUUUAAACUAAUUAAGUUCUAAUAAAUAAUUGCUCGUGCUUGACCCGUUUUAAAGCCUUUUCACAACUUGAAAUCAUCUUAAGAAACUUGUCCCAAAGUUUUCACAUGCAUUCAUGACUUUGAUAGGUAGUGUCAACUUCUGAAUACCAAAAACAACCAAAAUAAUUGCUCGUGCUUGACCCGUUUUAAAGUCUUUGCCCAACUUGAAAUCAUCUUAAAAAACACUUGCCCCAUAGUUUUCACAUGCAUUCAUGAGUUUGAUAGGUAGUGUCAACUUCCAAAUAACAAAAACCACUAAAAUAAUUGCUCAUGCUUGACCCAUUUUAAAGUCUUUGUCCAACUUGAAAUCAUCUUAAAAAGUAUUUGUCCUAUAGUUUUCACAUGCAUUCAUGACUUCGAUAGGUAGUGUCAACUUCCGAAUAACAAAAACAACCAAAAUAAUUACUUGUGCUUGACCCAUUUAAAGUCUUUGCCUAACUACAAAUCAUCUUAAAAAAAACUUGUCCCAAAGUUUUUACACGCAUUCAUGACUUUGAUAGGUAGUGUCAACUUCCGAAUACCAAAAACAACCAAAAUAAUUGCUCGUGCUUGACCCGUUUUAAAGUCUUUGCCCAACUUGAAAUCAUCUUAAAAAACACUUGCCCCAUAGUUUUCACAUGCAUUCAUGAGUUUGAUAGGUAGUGUCAACUUCCAAAUAACAAAAACCACUAAAAUAAUUGCUCAUGCUUGACCCAUUUUAAAGUCUUUGCCCAACUUGAAAUCAUCUUAAAAAAUACUUGUCCUAUAGUCUUCACAUGCAUUCAUGACUUCGAUAGGUAGUGUGAACUUCCGAAUAACAAAAACAACCAAAAUAAUUACUUGUGCUUGACCCAUUUAAAGUGUUUGUCUAACUUGAAAUCUUCUUAAAAAAAACUUGUCCCAUAGUUUUCACAUGCAUUCAUGACUUUGAUAGGUAGUGUUAACUUCAUACUUGACCCAUUUUAAAGUCUUUGCCUAUCUUGAAAUUAUCUUAAAAAAAUUAUUCCAUAGUUUUUGCAUGCACUCAUGACUUUGAUAGGUAGUUUCAACUUUUGAAUAACAAAAACAACCAAAAUAAUUGCUCAUGCUUGACCCAUUUUAAAGUCUUUGCGUAACUUCAAAUCACCUUAAAAAACUUGUCCCAUAUUUUCACAUGAAUUCAUUGUUUUGAUAGGUAAUGUCAACUUCUAAACCAAAAUGACUAAAAUAAAACUCGUGCUUAAAUCAUUUUAAAGUCUUUGCCUAACUAAUAGUCUAUUUUGUUAGAUUGUGAAACCUAAAUUAAUGUUGAGGGUUAAGCUCAGCUUGUUAAGAAGUUUUUUUAUUUAUUGAAUGGUGAUUUUGCCAUGUUGAUAUUGUAUUUAACCUUCUUGUAAUUUAGGGUUUCAUGUGAAAGUUGAGAGAAGGAGAGGCUUCCACAUUGUAACCUUUCUAUCUUCUUGUGAUUAAUAGAUUCUUGAGUGUUGGUGCCCUCUAUGGGCGUAGGGAAUUCAUUGAAUUUCGAAUACCACUCUUAUAUGUGGUUGCAUUAAUAAUCUUCAUAGUCUCACUUGCAUUCAUGACUUCAAUAAUUGGUGUAAUGAUGUCAUGACUUAUCUCCUUGAAUUUUCUUUUGAGAAAACUAUUAUAGAGGUGACUAGAAACCUAUCGAAUUUCAGUCCAACCUCACCUUUAGACAAGUUAGGCAAUCCCCUAAAGCACUCACUCCAUAAAAAGCUCCAAUUUUUUUUUAAUUAUUAUUAAUACUUUUUUUCUUGUUUUUUUUAGCUAUUUUAAAUAGUUAUCGAUAGUUUUUUAUUUUAAUUAAGUGAUGAACAAAAAAGAAAAGAAAAGUUAAAAAGAAUGCCCAAACUUUUAUAAUUAUCUAUAUAUAUUUGGCAUUGAGACAUUGAUUCAACUACGUUUACCCAUUAUUGUCAUUAGGAUUUAUUAUUUCAAUUUUAUUAGUCUAUAAAAAAAAUAUAUUGAUUUUAUUUUGAAAACUUAACAGGUUUUAUUAAGUCUUUUUAUCUUUCUCAACUUCGUGGUUUUUAUCUCAUAUUAUCUUUUUCACAUAGUAGAAAAAGAAAAAGAAUUGUAACUCAAAUACACAAAGGAAAUAAACUAUAUGUCCUACAAGUGUAAUUAAUAUAUAAUAAAGAACUCUAGAGCUAGAUACACAUUAACUUGCUCUCUGAAGUUAUUCCACCUUCUCAAUUUGCACACGAGUCUUUACUUGAAAACAUUAAAAUUAAUUGAAAUAACAUAAGAUCUAGUGAAAAGUUGUGAUUCACAAGUGUUAUGAUGGUCAAAAUAAAUUUAGAACAUAUUAAAAUUUAUAAUAGGAUAUAAGAAGUAUAUGAGAUUUAAAAAUAUGUAAUCAUGAUUCUAGACAUAUCUAUGGUCAAUCUAUUAUCUAUACAUAAGCUUACUACUUGUGGCAAUACCACAUCAACAUGAUCUUUAAGAUCUCACUAUCCUAGAUCACAACUCAUUUUUUGGUCAUCCAUCUAAGGACACAAUAAAGCAUAAUUUACCAUUUCAGACUCUACUGCCUAGCUUGAUAUCAAAACCCACAACACCAAUUUAUGGUCCUCCCCCUUACUACAUAAGUGGUGUGGAGUUUUAGAUCAAAACUAAAUGAAACACCCAUUGAUAUACAUGCUAUGUAUCAUACUCAUUAUAUAUUAAUCUCUAAAAUUUUAACAAUUGAUUUAAAAUAUAACAAAGUUAGUUGGUGUUAACAUUGAACCACCUCCUUAUCAUCUAUAAUUAAUCAAAUUGGAAAGGAUUAUAUACAUGAGCUCAAUUACAUUCCAAACUUGUUUUGUUUUAUUUUAUUUAUUUUAUCGAAAUGCUCUUAAUUUUUUAAUUAAAAUUUAUACAUGUAAUUACCCAUGAAAUAAUUAAAAAGUUUCCUUUUCACUCUCUUCUCUUUUAAAUAUAACCUAUUGAAAACUAACAAUUAAAAUUCUUUUUAAGAAGUGAGGGCCAAAAAUUCCUUAACAAAGGCCCACAUCAACAACCUAGUUGAUACAGGAAGUCCACUUGACCAACACAACCUAUACAUAUGCCUUCAUAAAAAAUAAAAAACAAAUAAAAAGUAAAUCUUCUUUGAGUAUGUAAAGCCAACAUGGGAUGGGAGGCAAGUAGGUAGUACAUCAUUAAAAGAAAAGAAAAGACCAAAGGAGGUAGUGAGAUGAUAAAAAAAGACUGGAGAGUACAAAUAUGCAUUUCCAGAAUGUUUGCAACCUUAUAUUGUUCAUCAUGUAAAGAUGUGGGAGUAAAUGGUAAUUGUGGAUACCGAGCUAUAGCCUCUACUUUGGGCAUGGGUGAGCAUGAUUAGCCAUAGGUUAGGCAAGACUUGUUGUGGGAGUUAUAUACAUAUUGUGUAGAGUAUGACAUGUUAUUUUAGGAUAACUUGCUAGUUGAUGAGCUCUUUCAUUCCCUAAAUUUCUUGGAUAAUCCUACUUUGAUUGAUAGAUGGAUCACUACGCCCCAUAUGGGCCAUAUUGUAGUUUCUAAAUACAAUGUUGUUGUCCACAUAUUGAUCUAGCGGUGCCUAACAUUCUAGCGUCUUCGAUUGAUGUUGUUGUCUAUACCUAUACGAAAGAUUAUAUUAAUUGGUUUUGUUAAUAACAAUCAUUUUAAGAAGGCAAUGUCAUGAAUACUACUAUACUUUAUUUCUAAUUCAUUAAUCUUACUUAAUGAAGUUAUUUACUAUAAUAUAAAAUUGAUUUAUAGGUUUUGAUGCAACCUGGAGCCCUAAUGCCACCUAUUACAAGGAGCUGGUAUAGGAGUCGAUAUCAAUGUGCUUAGGGUUGGGCGACUCCAUAUGUACCCACCAUUGAGAUGUUUCAUGAUUUAAUUUCUGAGAAUGUUAUCACAUAAGAUACUAUUGAUUUGGAUGUUGAUGUAUGAUGUAUUGUAUUAUAAAUGUUGUAUGACAAUGUAAUCAAGGAAGAUACUAUGUAUUUGAAUGAUGAUAUAUAAUCUAUUGUAUUAUUAUUGUUCUAUGAUGGUUUAGAUGCCAAUGUCACUUUGAAUAUUGAUGGUAGUGUGAAAGUUACAUACAACCGUUAAAAAAUUUAUAAGCAUAGGAGAUUACAACAGUAAGAUCAUAUAAUAUGGAAAAAUUUUGCAAAAAUAUCAUAACGUACAAAAUGACUUAUUAAAAUAUAUUGUUUGCAAAAUAAUAUUUUAUAACCAUAUAAUGUGGACAUAAAAUGCUUGCAAAAUUUCAUAAUAUAACAGAUGGAAAAUAAGGCUUUUGGGUUACCUUUUGAAAUGCCUUAAAAUUCUGAUUUGUUUUUUUACUGACCAAUUUUCUCGCUUCAAGUCAUGAAUGGAACUACAAAUACAAGAACCAUUCUUUUCUCAUAGCACAAGAGCCUUGACCUUUGUUUUCACAGAGAAAAAAUGAAUAAAAUUCGAGAAAAGAACUUAUUUCUUCAUAAAGAAGAAUUGUAUUCUUUCUUUUGUUUUUAAGGAGAGAAGAAAACAUAUUUUAAAAAAAAUUAAUUGUCACAGCUUUUGGGAAGUUUUAAAACUCCCAAAACUAUUCCCCUAUUUUCUCACAUUUAUUGGGUUGGAUCAGGUUAGCCCACUUGGGCACCCAUACCCAACUCUAACAUCCCCCACUUACACAAGAUGGGUUGAACUAGCUUGAUCACUCAUCCAAGUCCAUUAUGUUCCACUUUUGAAGGUCAUUCAUACAGGUAAAUGGGUCGUGUGACCAUGUAAGCACACCUACAAUUUGGGAGCUAUAAUUUGGUAACCAACACAGACCAGCUCCUCAUUGAGAUUGUCCAUGCUACAUAGUUGAUAAUUUAGAAAAGCAAAAUGGCUCAUAAUACAAAAAGUCAAACAUCAGAUCAAAUUCCUUUUUCUGCCCCCCAAAAGUAUCGUGAUAUACAAUGUUAUGUUACCUAAAAAAUAUAUAAGCCUGACCUAAAAAGUACCGUGAUAUUACAUCCCAUACUGCUUCUAAUCCAUAAGAAGCUCCCAAAGGUAAUCCUAGAUAAAUGUAAGGAAGUUUCCUCACCUUUGCAACCCAAUUCAGUAGUUAGACUAUCUACAUCUGUGACCUUUCCAAUUGAAAUCAAUUCACUUUGAUCCAAUUUGAUUCUAAGCACUAAUAAUGCCUUAAACCAUAUGAGUAUCCAACUUAGAUAAGUCAUUUGCUCUUGAGAAUUCUCAUAGAAGACCAAAGUGUCAUCUGCAAAUAAUAGAUGGGACACAACCACCCCCUCUCCCCCCUCCCUUUCACCCUAAAACUUGAUAAGUAACCCCCCUCUUAGGCUCUCUCCAACAAGCAACUCAAGACCUCCAUAACCAAAACAAACAAAAAAAAAAAAAGGACAAAGGAUCCCAAUGUCUCAGCGCUCUAGAAAUUUUAAAAGAAACCAAAAGGAGUUCCAUUAACCAACACUGAAAACUUUGCUAUGGAAAUGUACUAUUACAUCCAUCUAAUCCAUUUAUGGUUAAAACCCCCUUUUUUUUUUUUUCAUAACUACAAUCAGAAAAACCCAAUUGACAUGGCCAUAUGCUUUUUCUAUGUCCAACUUGCAAAUGACACCAUUGGAGUUGACCUUCAAGGUUAAAUCAAUUGCUUCAUUCACUACAAGGGAUGCAUCUAAAAUUUGUCUCUCCUCUACAAAGGCGUUCCGAAACUUAGAAACCACUUUUCCCCACCACUUGCUUCAAUUUAUUUGCCAACACCUUUGCCAAAAGUUUGUAAAGACCCUAUUAAACCUAUUAGUCUAAAAUCUUUCAAAUCCUCUACACCCCCCUUCUUUAAGAUUAAAGACAAAAAAGUAACAUUUAAACUUCUUUCGAGCUUGCUAUUAGCUUUUGGUUAAUAAUUCAAAUGGGGGGGAUAACAAUGAGAGGAGUUAAGUCCAAUUUUGAGGAGAUGUUACCUUUGUGUAUCCUUAAUGGACUCAUACCUUUGUGUACAAUUUUCGUUGUAUAUAUAGUGGAGGCGUUUAGUCUUACUUUGAUUAGGAUUUUGUAUUUUGUGAGAAAGAGCUCUCAUAUUUCUUUUGUACCUUUUUCAUAGUUAAUAUAUCUUAUGUUCCUAAUAAAUAAAUAUAUACAUAUAUAUUAAUGAAAGGAGCUAUAUGGCAAGGUGCAUAGGUUGUAUACAAGAUAAAAGUCAAAAUAUAAUUCCUUUUCAUAAUUAUAAUUACAAAAUAUAAUUAUGUAUUUUUUAAUCGAAGUACUCAAUUAUAUUAGGUUUAUUUCAUAUAAAUAUAUUUUGAGUUUAUUAUGUAUGUAAUUUUUUAUUAAUAUUUGUUGGAAAAAUAAUUAAUACUUAUUAAAAAAUUUUAAAGGCAAUACUUACUAAAUUUUUUUUAAGAAAUACCGACCCUAAUCUAAAAAGGGUAUAAUUGAAGUUCAUAAGAGAUCAAAAUUUCAAUUACAAAUUUGGUGACCGUUUUGAAUACUUGUCAACUAAUUAUAAAUAUUUUGGAUAAUUUUUCCAUGGCCAAAUUGAAAGAAAGGCAAAUAAUUAAAGAGAUUGGAAUGGAUCUCUACUUCUCUAGAAAGGAACCCGCCAUUGAAAUUAUUGAAUGCAGCCAAAAGCAUCAAUUAAUGUGAUGGAGAUUCGUCUUUGUCUUUGAUACACGUGGGUGAGUAAACGUCCAUAUGAGAAAAUAACAUUAUUAACGUUAUAUAACCUCUCACAUUAAAUAUUACUUGAAUCAGGUAGAAUAGAUUUGAAAUGGAGGGAACUUAAUGUGAAAAGAAAAUAAGGGUGCACCAUCUCUAUCUGUUUUCCAUUAACAAAUUAACCAAAGUGCAAAUUCAACGAUUGGGAUUUAUUUUGAUCUGAGAGUUUUGAGAAGCUGUUUGUUGAAAUGUCUGAAUGAAUGACUUGGGUUUCAGCUCAUGAAUCUAGAAAUAUACCACAUGAAAGGCCUCUUCUUUUUUGAAAGACGCAAUACAAGCUUUUACAGGAGUGCAAUAUAUAACAUAUUCGAAAGAACAAUACUUUGAAGGGAUUGUCCAAAUUAAUAAAACAGAAUACCAAGUCAAAAUUACAACUUUACAUCAUGGAGAAGGGAGGACCCUCAACUAGCAUGACCCAGCAGCUCACCCAAUGUUAUCAUGGGAAACGGUUUUGACAAUGGUGGCCACUGUGUUGGGAGUGCUCGACCAACUUGUUGCAUAGUCGGCCGAGAUUGGGGAUUAAUACGCAAGCAUGCAAAUGCUAACUUCACUACAGCCACUACUUCCUCAGCCACUUGAUUCACAGGAGGUGAGGGGCGCUGGUCCAUCACAUCAUUCAACAGGCGAUGGUCCACAGUUGAUGGUGAUGAGAAUGAUGAGGACGCUGACGAUAACAGGGACGAGAUGAGUUCUCCAGGAUGCCUUCCCAUAAUGACUUCCAAUGUUACCACUCCGAAGCUAUAAACAUCAGUUUUAUUAUCAACCUUCAUGGUGUAAGCAAGUUCUGCAAAGAAGAUUUGAUCAUGCUCUGUUCUGCUAAGCAAUUAUAACAGUUCUAUAUAUGAUGUAUAGAGGCAGUACAGAGGUAAGCAAGGAACUAAGAAAAUUGUACCUGGAGCAGUAUAACCAAAAGUUCCUGCAAAUGAAGUCCAAUUAGAUGAGUCCGACUUUAAAAGCCUAGCCGUGCCAAAGUCAGAUACAUGAGCCUCAUAUUCUGAAUCUAACAAAACAUUGUUGCUCGAUAUGUCUCGAUGAACUAUAGGAGGUGAGCAAUCAUGGUGCAUGUAAGAUAAAGCUUUAGCCAUGCCUUUAACAAUGUUUAGCCUCACAAUCCAAUCUAAUUUUUCUGCUUCUUCGUCGUUGCUUAGAAUGUUUCGCAAGCUCCCCUUUUCCAUAAACUCAUAAACCAAAAAUGAGAUCUCUGCAAAUGAACUGAAGCCAUAAAGCUUGACGAUGUUGCGAUGCCUUAUCUGUGUUAAAGCAUGAAUCUCGCUUUUGAAAGCUUUCAAAUCAGCCAUAUCUCCAUCUUGUGAUGAGUGAAGUUUUUUCACAGCAACAACCCGGCCUGUUGGCAACUCAGCCUUGUAAACAGUACCAUAUCCUCCAGUGCCGAUACACUGUUUCGAACUGAAAUUAUCGGUCCCCUGUAUGAUGUGCUCAUACAACAAUUCUCCAUCAUGGCCCCAUAUUGCAAAUAGAUCUUCAACAUCUGCUUCUGGAGACUUGGUUUUUCUCUUCCUCAAUUUUUGGAAAGAAAAUAAAUGCCANAAUAAAAGAAAAUUGCACCAGAGAAAUGAUUGAAACCAAAGUCAAGACUUGUAAUCAGUUUGGAAAGAUUACCAAUGUUGAUUGAAAUGGUUCCAUAAAGGGAGUUGUUAUAAAGAUUAAGAGUGAGAAGGUUGGGGAGUGAAGAGAAAUUGAGAUUGUGGAGUGUACCUCUCAAACCGCAACUGUCAAGGUCUAAAUUGGAGACACUUCCUGACUUGUGACAAGUCACUCCAAACCAAUGAUGGCAAGAAUUGCGUCCAAACCAAGAAGAGAGGAAAGAUUGGGUUUGAUUAUCAAGACUGGCCUUCCAUGUUAGAAGAGUGAGUGCUUCUUGAUCUUGUUCAACUUUCAAAAGAGAAGUGGUAGGUGUAGAGGCAGAUGUAAAAGUGACAUGGAAUAAUGAUAUUGAGUACAGAAGGAAAAUGAGAAAUAUGAAGAAGCAAGGAGUGAUGAUGAGUUGGGGGAGCAAGGAGUAGGAUGAAGAAUAUUCAAGGGCCAUUGUUGAAUUGUUAGAAAGGCAGUUAUUAAGAGGUUUACUUGGAGGGAAGAAUGAACAUGAAACACUUAUUUAUAGACUUAAAUGUGAUACAUCCAACAUUUCCAUUAGUUGAUGUCGACAUCUAACCACCUGCUUCAUCUAUGAUUAAUGGAACUAAAAAGGAUUAUAUACAUGAGUUCAAUUCCACACUUAUUUUAUUUUAUUUUAUCAAAAUGCUCUUAUUUUUUUAAUUAAAAUUUACACCUACAAUUACAUAUGAAAUAAUUAAAAAUAUUCCUUUUUCACUCCAUGCACUUUUAAAUAUAACUUGUUUAAAAUUAAUAAUUAAAAUUCAUUUUAAGAAGUAAGGACAAAAUAUGCCCACAUCAACAACCUAGUUGAUACAAGAAAUCCACUUUAACCAGCAUUACCUAUAUAUAUAUGUCUUUAUAUAAACCACUUAAUGUAUUUUUUUUUCAAAAAUUCUUAAAUAUAAACUUAAUUUUAUUUACAAGAAAGUUGCUAUAUUCCUACACUAAAUUUUAUAAAAAUGACAUUUAAAACAUUAAUUUUCUUAAUCUAUUUUUUAAAUAAUAUUGUAAUGAAAGAAAAAAGGAAGUGUAGGUAUAUGUAUGUAUGUAUGUAUAUAUAUGUGUGUGUAACUGAAUAAAGAGAGAGAGCUAUAAGAAAAUUGAAUAACUUAAUAGAUAAAUGAAAUUCAAUCACUUUAAGAAGUUUACACCUAUUCACCAAAAAUAGAAAAUGGGUAAAUAGUAAAUACAAGAAAAUUAGAAAUUCAAUUACUCUUGAAAAUGACGACUGACCAUGCCUUAUGGGAUUUGAAAUCUUUAACCAAACUCAAUAUCAUUUUUAAGCAUCCAUGAAUGAAAAAUAAUAAUAAUAAUAAUAAUAAUAAUAAUAAUAAUAAUAAUAAUAAUCAAGUGGCUUAGGUCAUAAAUUUUAUUUCAAAAUCAUUUAAGAUAUAAAUCAAUUAAAACUAAAUUUUUAAGUUUAUAAAUUUUAAAUUCCUCCCUUACUCACUAUUUGGAUUAAUAAUCAAAUUGCUUAAGUCAUAAAUUUUAUUUCAAAAUCAUUUAAGAUAUAAAUCACUUAAAACUGAAUUUUUAAGUUUAUAAAUUUUAAAUUCCUCCCUUACUCAUUGUUUGGAUUGAAGUCAAAAGAGAUUCAAAUUUUUGUUAGAUAGUUCAUCUUUGCUAUUUUGGAACAUAUUUAUUUAUUUAUUUAUUAAUAGAACGUUUACCCUCCUAGAGUGUAAAAUCCUCUUCAGCUUUGCAAUUAGAGUCAAUAUCUCGUAUUCAAUUCAAUCCUCGUCUUUUCUGACCUCCUAAAUUCUAAACCCUGUCUGGGUUUUCCAGUUGUGUGAAAAAUUACAUCAUGGGGACCUAACAGGAUGGGAUUUGAUUCAAUGUUAAAGAGAAAAUUUUGGAAAAAUCUGCAAAACCCUCAACAGUUGUGGCCAUAGCUCAACACCAAGAUGGGAAUUUACAAUCUAAUAAUGCUGAUGACUUCAUAGACUGCUCUACAAAACUAGAGUUUGUCGGAAUGCUUGUCCUUUGUUGAAAGAUGCGAAGGUCCUCACAUUCUUGAGCAGGAAGAACCUAGGUCGAAAGUAAUCAGCAAAGGAUAAGAACGCCAAGAUCAUUUCACACCGAAACACUUUACUCUAGCUACUCUGGUUAAACGGAUUCAUCCCAGAGAAACCCUGUGAAGAUAGCAGCCUUGUUUUAGUUAUAAAAAGAACAAAUAUGAUCAUUACUUUUGUACAAACAAUGAUAUUUAAUUAGUAAUGUUUACAUAUUCUUAGCAUGUAAAAAGAAGUAGACUUAAAUGUUUAAGAACAUUUAGAUACCGGUUUAAACAAAGAUAUUAUUCAAAGUUAUACAUAUAGCUCUAUUAGAUUUAAGUUAAAUAAAGUUAUAGUCAAAAUUUAUAUUAAGAAACAAAUGUUACCUGAGAGUAAUUGCUCUUACAUUGUAGCAGAACUAGAAAAAAUAAAAAUUAAUUCCUUCAGUAGAAUUUAUAUGAAAACUUCAUUUAUUUUGUGCAUGCAUUAAAAUAAUGAUUUGACUUGAAUUUAUUAACAAACAAAAACAAAAAUUAUUUGUAUUAUUUAUCAUUAUUAAAAAUUACAUAUUUGGAUAUGAAUAUAGAAUUCCCUUUCUAAUUACAAGUUUUUAGUCAAAACUUUUGUUGUCUUUGAUAGGGUGGAAAUAUUGUUGCAUUCCUAAUUCGUAUCAACAAUUGUGUGGAAAAGUCGUUGCAUUCCUAAUUGUUGUCAAUAAUUGUGUGGAGAAAUUGUUGCAUUAGUAAUUCUUAUCAACAAUUGCUUUCAAGUUUUUGCUAAAUAAUCCAAGUUCUAGAAAUUAUUGAACUAUCCAUGUAUACCCAAUGACAAGUCUAAAAAUUUAUAAAAAUAAUUUAGAAGUCUAUAACUAACUCAAAUAGUACAAUAGUCCAGGACCCAAAACUUUCUUAGCGCAUUUUUUUUCUUUCUUUUUUUAUAUUUUUUUUAUAGAACGUUUACCCUCCUUGAAUUUAAAAUCCUCUGUUCUGUGUUCAGAUUUCAGCUUUGUAAUUGGAAUCAAUAGAUCUCAUAUUCAAUUCAAUCCAAGUGUUUCUCUGGCCUCCUAAAUCCUAAACCCUAUCUGGGUUUUCCAUUUUUGUGAAAAAUUAAAUCACUAGGUCUGGGGCCCAACAGGAUGGGAUUAGAUUCAAUGUUAGAGACAAAAUUUUGUAAAAAUAUAUCUACAAAACCCUCUCAAUAGUUGUGGCCAUAGCUCAAGACCAAGAUGGGAAUUUACAAUCUAGUAAUGCUGAUGAAUGCUUCAUUGACUGCUCUACCAUACUAGACUUUGACUGAAUGUCUGUCAUUAAUUUGUCGAAAGACAUGAGGAACACAUGUAGAUAUGAACAUAAAAUUCCCUUUUCAACUGCACACAUUUGUAAUCAAGACUUUGGUUGUCUUUAAUAGAGUGGAAAAGUCUUUGCUUUACUAGUUCUUAUCAAUAAUUGUUUUCAAGGAAUCUGGACCCAAUAUUCAUAUCAUCAAUGGCAGCCAUCAAUUAUCCUAGUUGAUGUGAGUGGUCUAAUCAAGGUGAAGUAUAUACAAGCUUCAUGUAUUAAAUCUUACUAUUAAAAUAGAAAGUGAGGAUUGAAUCCAUUGUAUUAAGGCUAAGUAUAUAUAAGCUUCAUCUAGGUAUUUUACCUAGAUUUUUUUUUUCUUUUUAAAAGGUAAAAUUUGUAUUAAAACUUCAUCUAUGUCAAGGCAUAGCACAAAUGAAGGGUGGCAUGCUUUCAUGUAGAAAUAAAAUAGAAUUUCAUUUUCUAAAUAGGGUAUUUUACCAUUGUUGUCUUUGAUAGGGUGGAAAAAUUGUUGCAUUCCUAAUUCCUAUCAACAAUUGUGUGGAAAAGUCGUUGCAUUCCUAAUCCUUGUCAAUAAUUGUGUGGAAAAGUUGUUGCAUUACUAAUUCUUAUCAACAAUUGCUUUCAAGGAAUCUAUACCCAAUAUUCAAAUUAUCAAUAGUAGACGUCAAUGAUCCUAAUUGAUGUGAGAAGUCUAAUUAAAGUGAAGUAUACAUGAACUUCAUUUAUUAAAUCUUAGUAUUAGCAUAAAAAGUAACAAUGGAAUCCAUUGCAUCAAGGCUUAAGGAACAAUAAUUAUAAUGCCGGGAGUCUAGAUUAAUUUUCUUAAGUAUAAAGUAAGUCCAUACCUUUUGUAUAAAAGUUUCUACUUUUAUAAAAAAUUUCUAUUUUUAGAAACAAAAAAUAAAAUAUAUUCAAAUGAAACCUAAAUACCUAAAUAAAAAAUAUAUAAAAUAAUAACAUUUAAUUUAAACUAGUAAUUAAAAGUGAUGAUAAAAACUUAUAAGCAAAAAACUAUACUUAGUAAAGAUUUAAACUAAUUAAGUUCUAAUAAAUAAUUGCUUGUGCUUGACCCGUUUUAAAGUCUUUGCACAACUUGAAAUCAUUUUAAGAAACUUGUCCCAAAGUUUUCACAUGCAUUCAUGACUUUGAUAGGUAGUGUCAACUUCCGAAUACCAAAAACAAACAAAAUAUUUGCUCGUGCUUGACCCGUUUUAAAGUCUUUGCCCCUUGAAAUCAUCUUAAAAAACACUUUCCUCAUAGUUUUCACAUGCAUUCAUGAAUUUGAUAGGUAGUGCCAACUUCCAAAUAACAAAAACCACUCAAAUAAUUGCUCAUGCUUGACCCAUUUUAAAGUCUUUGCCCAACUUGAAAUCAACUUAAAAAAUACUUGUCCUAUAGUUUUCACAUGCAUUCAUGACUUUGAUAGGUAGUGUCAACAUCCGAAUAACAAAAACAACCAAAAUAAUUACUUGUGCUUGACCCAUUUUAAAGUCUUUGUCUAACUUGAAAUCAUCUUAAAAAAACUUGUCCCAUAGUUUUCACAUGCAUUCAUGACUUUGAUAGGUAGUUUUAACUUCAUACUUGACCCAUUUUAAAGUCUUUCCCUACCUUGAAAUCAUCUUAAAAAACCUAUUUCAUAGUUUUUACAUGCACUCAUGACUUUGAUAGGUAGUGUCAACUUUUGAAUAACAAAAACAACCAAAAUAAUUGCUCAUGCUUGACCCAUUUUAAAGUCUUUGUGUAACUUCAAAUCACCUUAAAAAACUUGUCCUAUAUUUUCACAUGAAUUCAUGACUUUGUUAGGUAAUGUCAACUUCUAAACUAAAAUGACUAAAAUAACAGUCGUGCUUAAGCCAUUUUAAAGUCUUUGCCCAACUUAUAGUCAUUUUUGUUGGAUUGUGAAACCUAAAUCAAUCUUGUUGAGCUACACAAGGGAUUUUAAGUCAAGCUCAACUUGUUAAGAAGUUUUUUUAUUUAUUGAACGGUGAUUUUACCCUGUUGCUAUUGUAUUUAACCUUCUUGUAAUUCAGGGUUUCGUGUGAAAGUUGAGAGAAGGAGAGACUUCCACAUUGUAACCUUUCUAUCUUCUUGUGAUUAAUAGAUUCUUGAGUGUUGGUGCCCUCUAUGGACAUAGGGAUUGCAUUGAUUUUCGAAUACCACUCUUAUAUGUGGUUGCAUUAAUAAUCUUCAUAGUUUCACAUGCAUUCAUGACUUCAAUAGGUGGUGUAAUGAUGUCAUGACUUAUCUCCUUGAAUUUUAUUUUGAGAAAACUAUUCUAGAGUUGACUAGAAACCUAUUGAAUUUCAGUCCAACCUCACCUUUAGACAAGUCAAGCAAUCCCCUAAAGCCCUCACUCCAUAUAAAGCUCCAAUUUUUUUUUUUAUUAUUACUUAUUUUUUCUAGUUUUCUUUAGAUAUUUUAAAUAAUUAUUGAUAGUAUUUUUAUUUUAAUUAAGUGAUGAACUAAAAAGAAAAGAAAAGUGAAAAAGAAUGCCCAAACUUUUAUAAUUAUCUAGAUUUUUUUUGUGGCAUUGAGACAUGGAUUCAACUACGUUUACCCAUUAUAGUCUUUAGGAUUUAUUAUUUUAAUUUUAUUAUUCUAUAAAGAAAAUCUAUUGAUUUUAUUUUGAAAACUUAACAGGUUUUAUUAAGUCUUUUUAUUUUUUUCAACUUCGUGGUUUCUAUCUCAUAUUAUCUUUUUCACAUAGUAGAAAAAGGAAAAGAAUUUUAACUCAAAUACACAAAGGAAAUAAACUAUAUGUCCUACAAGUCUAAUUAAUAUAUAAUAAAGAACUCUAGAGCUAGAUACAUAUUAACUUGCUCUUUGAAGUUGAUUCUACCUUCUCAAUUUGCACACGAGUCUUUACUUGAAAUAUUAAAAUUAAUUGAAAUAACAUAAGAUCUAGUGAAAAGUUGUGAUUCACAAGUGUUAUGAUGGUCAAAAUAAAUUUAGAACAUAUAAAAAUUUAUAAUAGGAUAUAAGAAGUAUAUGAGGUUUAAAAAUAUGUAAUCAUGAUUCUAGACAUAUCUAUGGUCAAUCUAUUAGCUAUACAUAAGCCUACUACUUGUGCAAUACCACAUCGACAUGAUCUUUAAGAUCUCACUAUCCUAGAUCACAACUCAUUUUUUGGUCAUCCAUCUCAGGACACAAUAAAGCAUAAUUUACCGCUCCAGACUCUACUGCCUAGCUUGAUAUCGAAACCCACAACACCAAUUUAUGGUCCUCUCCUUUACUACAUAAGUGGUGUUGAGUUUUAGAUCAAAACUAAAUGAAACACCCAUUGAUAUACAUGCUAUGCAUCAUACUCAUUAUAUAUUAAUCUCUAAAAUUUUAACAAUUGAUUUAAAAUAUAACAAAGUUAGUUGGUGUUAACAUUGAACCACCUCCUUAUCAUCUAUAAUUAAUCAAAUUGGAAAGGAUUAUGUACAUGAGUUCAAUUACAUUCCAUACUUGGUUUGUUUUAUUACAAAACAAAAUUUUGUAAAAAUAUAUCUACAAAACCCUCUCAACAGUUGUGGCCAUAGCUCAAGAUCAAGAUGGGAAUUUAAAAUCUAAUAAUGCUGAUGAAUGCUUCAUUGACUGCUCUACCAUACUAGACUUUGACUGAAUGCCUGUCAUUAAUUUGUCGAAAGACAUGAAGUUCCUCACAUGUAGAUAUGAACAUAAAAUUCCCUUUUCAACUGCACACAUUUGUAAUCAAGACUUUGGUUGUCUUUAAUAGAGUGGAAAAGUCUUUGCUUUACUAGUUCUUAUCAAUAAUUGUUUUCAAGGAAUCUGGACCCAAUAUUCAUAUCAUCAAUGGUAGCCAUCAAUUAUCCUAGUUGAUGUGAGCGGUCUAAUCAAGGUGAAGUCUAUAUGAACUUCAUGUAAUAAAUCUUACUAUUAAAGUAGAAAGUGAGGAUUGAAUCCAUUGUAUUAAGGCUAAGUAGGGUAUUUUACCUAGAUUAAUUUUUUUUUCUUUUUAAAAGGUAAAAUUUGUAUUAAAACUUCAUCUAUGUCAAGGCAUAGCACAAAUGAAGGGUGGCAUGCUUUCAUGUAGAAAUAAAAUAGAAUUUCAUUUUCUAAAUAGGGUAUUUUACCAUUGAUGUAAAUAAUUUCUUUUACUUCUUCCUUCGUAAGAGUCAAGAACUCGAAGAUAUUUGCUUCCCAAUAUUUCCCAUCCAAUCAUUUCCAUCAAUUCUUCAUGAAGGAUUGGCUUGUAAGAGACUGAUUUUAUUUUAUUUUUUAAAGUAUUUAAAUAGAAACAUGCAAUAAAAUGAUUAUACUUUUUCUUUAAUUUUAUUUAGGUUUCCAAAAUCAUUAUUUCUCAAAUAUAUUAUUUUAAUUAUAUCAAAUAAGAAUAUAUAAUUAUCAUUUCUUAAGAUAGUAUUGUUAAAUUACUAAUCUUUAAAAAUUUCAUUACGGUAACAAAUGUUAAAAAAAUUAUUACUAUUUUUUUUAAAACUAUUAGUCUUGAAAUAAUUUGUUUUAAUUGUAUAAAAAGAAGAAAUAUGAUAAUUAUUUUUGUAUAGACAAUGAUAUUUAAUUAGUCAUUUUUAGAUAUUCUUAACAUGUAAAAAGAAGUAGACUUAACAUUUAAGAACAUUUAGAUACCACUUUAAACAAAUAUAUUAUUCAAAAUCAUACAUCUAGCUCUAUUACAUUUAAGUUAAAUAAUGUUAUAGUCAAAAUUCAUAUUAAAAAAAAAAUGAUACCUAAGAGUAAUUCCUAUGACAUUAUAACAUGAACUCAAAAAAAAAAUGAUUCCUUAAGUAGAAUCUAUAUGAAAACUUCAUUUAUUUUAAGCAUGCAUUAAAAUAAUGGUUUAUCUUGAAUUUAUUAACAAAAUAAAAAAAUAAAUUAUUUGUAUUGUUUAUCAUUAUUAAAAAAGAUGUCUUACUUUUCAAUUAAAAUUACAUAUGUAGAAAUGAAUAUAGAAUUCCCUUUCCAAUUGCAAGUUUUAGUCAAAACUUUUGUUGUCUUUGAUAGGGUGGAAAAAUUGUUACAUUCCUAAUUCGUAUCAACAAUUGUGUGGAAAAGUCGUUGCAUUCCUAAUCCUUGUCAAUAAUUGUGUGGAAAAGUUGUUGCAUUACUAAUUCUUUUCAACAAUUGCUUUCAAGGAAUCUAUACCCAAUAUUCAAAUUAUCAAUAGUAGAUGUCAAUGAUCCUAAUUGAUAUGAGUCAUCUAAUCAAAGUGAAGUGUACAUGAACUUCAUUUAUUAAAUCUUAGUAUUAACAUAAAAAGUAACAAUGGAAUCCUAUGCAUCAAGACUUAAGGAAUAGUAAUUAUAAUGCUCAGAAUCUAGAUUAAUUUUCUUAAGUAUAAAGUAAGUCCAUACCUUUUGUAUAAAAGUUUCUACUUUUAUAUAAAAAUUUCUAAUUUUUUUUAAAUAAAAUAUAUUCAAAUGAAACAUAAAUACUUAAAUAAAAAAUAUAUCACAUAAUAACAUUUAAUUUAAACUAGUAAUUAAAAAUGAUGAAAAAACUUAUAAGCGAAAAACUAUACUCAAUAAAGAUUUAAACUAAUUAAGUUCUAAUAAAUAAUUGCUCGUGCUUGACCCGUUUUAAAGUUUUUGCACAACUUGAAAUCAUCUUAAGAAACUUGUGCCAAAGUUUUCACAUGCAUUCAUGACUUUGAUAGGUAGUGUCAACUUCUGAAUACCAAAAACAACCAAAAGAAUUGCUCAUGCUUGACCCGUUUUAAAGUCUUUGCCCAACUUAAAAUCAUCUUAAAAACUUGUUAGUUGGUGUUAACAUUGAACCACGUCCUUCUCAUCUAUAAUUAAUCAAAUUGGAAAGAAUUAUAUACAUGAGCUCAAUUACAUUACAAACUUGUUUUGUUUUAUUUUAUUUAUUUUAUCGAAAUGCUCUUAAUUUUUUAAUUAAAAUUUAUACAUGUAAUUACCUAUGAAAUAAUUAAAAAGUUUCUUUUUCACUCUCUUCUCUUUUAAAUAUAACCUAUUGAAAACUAACAAUUAAAAUUCUUUUUAAGAAGUGAGGACCAAAAAUUCCUUAACAAAGGCCCACAUCAACAACCUAGUUGAUACAGGAAGUCCACUUGACCAACACUACCUAUACAUAUGCCUUCAUAAAAAAUAAAAGACAGAUAAAAAGUAAAUCUUCUUUGAGUAAGUGAAGCCAACAUGGGAUGGGGAGGCAAGUAGAUAGUACAUCAUUAAAAGAAAAGAAAAGACCAAAGGAGGUAGUGAGAUGAUAAAAAAAGAUUGGAGAGUACAAAUAUGCAUUUCCAGAAUGUUUGCAACCUUAUAUUGUUCAUCAUGUAAAGAUGUGGGAGCAAAUGGUAAUUGUGGAUACCGAGCUAUAGCCUCUACUUUGGGCAUGGGUGAGCAUGAUUAGCCAUAGGUUAGGCAAGACUUGUUUUGGGAGUUAUAUACAUAUUAUGUAGAGUAUGAUAGGUUAUUUUAGGAUAACUUGCUAGUUGAUGAGCUCUUUCAUUCCCUAAAUUUCUUAGAUAAUCCUACUUUGAUUGAUAGAUGGAUCACUACGCCCCAUAUGGGCCAUAUUGUAGUUUCUAAAUACAAUGUUGUUGUCCACAUAUUGAUCUAGUAGUGCCUAACAUUCUAGUGUCUUCGAUUGAUGUUGUUGUCUAUACCUAUAUGAAAGAUUAUAUUAAUUGGUUUUGUUAAUAACAAUCAUUUUAAGAAGGUAAUGUCAUGAAUACUACUAUACUUUAUUUCAAAUUCAUUAAUCUUACUUAAUGAAGUUAUUUAUUAUAAUAUAAAAUUGAUUUAUAGGUUUUGAUGCAACCUGGAGUCCUAAUGCCACCUAUUACAAGCAACUGGUAUAGGAGUUGAUAUCAAUGUGCUUAGGGUUGGGCGACUCCAUAUUUACCUGCCAUUGAGAUGUUUCAUGAUUUAAUUUUUGAGAAUGUUAUCACAUAAGAUACUAUUGAUUUGGAUGUUGAUGUAUGAUGUAUUGUAUUAUAAAUGUUGUAUGACAAUGUAAUCAAGGAAUAUACUAUGUAUUUGAAUGAUGAUAUAUAAUCUAUUGUAUUAUUAUUGUUCUAUGAUGGUUUAGAUGCCAAUGUCACUUUGAAUAUUGAUGGUAGUGUGAAAGUUACAUACAACCGUUAAAAAAUUUAUAAGCAUAGGAGAUUACAACAGUAAGAUCAUAUAAUAUGGAAAAUUUUUGCAAAAAUAUCAUAACGUACAAAAUGACUUAUUGAAAUGUAUUGUUUGCAAAAUAAUAUUUUAUAACCAUAUAAUGUGGACAUAAAAUGCUUGCAAAACUUCAUAAUAUAACUGAUGGAAAAUAAGGUUUUCGGGUUACCUUUUGAAAUGCCUUAAAAUUCUGAUUUGUUUUUUUACUGACCAAUUUUCUCGCUUCAAGUCAUGAAUGGAACUACAAAUACAAGAACCAUUCUUUUCUCAUAGCACAAGAGCCUUGACCUUUGUUUUCACAGAGAAAAAAUGAAUAAAAUUCGAGAAAAGAAUUUAUUUCUUCAUGAAGAAGAAUUGUAUUCUUUCUUUUGUUUUUAAGGAGAGAAGAAAACAUAUUUUAAAAAAAAUUAAUUGUCACAGUUUUUGGGAAGUUUUAAAACCCCCAAAACUACUCCCCUAUUUUCUCACAUUUAUUGGGUUGGAUCAGGUUAGCCCACUUGGGCACCCAUACCCAACUCUAACAUCCCCUACUUGCAUAAGAUGGGUUGAACUAGCCUGAUCACUCAUCCAAGUCCAUUAUAUUCCACUUUUGAAGGUCAUUCAUAUAGGUAAAUGGGUCGUGUGAACAUGGAAGCACACUUACAAUUUGGGAGCUAUAAUUUGGUAACCAACAUAGACCAGCUCCUCAUUGAGAUUGUCCAUGCUACAUAGUUGAUAAUUUAGAAAAGAAAAAUGGCUCAUAAUACAAAAAGUCAAACAUUAGAUCAAAUUCCUUUUUCUGCCCCCCAAAAGUACCGUGAUAUACAAUGUUAUGUUACCUAAAAAAUAUAUAAGCUUGACCUAAAAAGUACCGUGAUAUUACAUCCCAUACUGCUUCUAAUCCAUAGGAGGCUCCCAAAGGUAAUCCUAGAUAAAUGUAAGGAAGUUUCCUCACCUUGCAACCCAAUUCAGUAGUUAGAUUAUCUACAUCUGUGACCUUUCCAAUUGAAAUCAAUUCACUUUUAUCCAAUUUGAUUCUAAGCACUAAUAAUGCCUUAAACCAUAUGAGUAUCCAACUUAGAUAAGUCAUUUGCUCUUGAGAAUUCUCACAGAAGACCAAGGUGUCAUCUGCAAAUAAUAGAUGGGACACAACCACCCCCUCUCCCCCCUCCCUUUCACCCUGAAACUUGAUAAGUAACCCCCCUCUUAGGCUCUCUCCAACAAGCAACUCAAGACCUCCAUAACCAAAAAAAAAGAAAAAAAAAAAAAGGACAGAGGAUCCCAAUGUCUCAGUGUUCUAGAAACUUUAAAAGAAACCAAAAAGAGUUCCAUUAACCAACACUGAAAACCUUGCUAUGGAAAUGCACUAUUGCAUCCAUCUAAUCCAUUUAUGGUUAAAACCCUUUUUUUUUUCAUAACCACAAUAAGAAAAACCCAAUUGACAUGGCCAUAUGCUUUUUCUAUGUCCAACUUUCAAAUGACACCAUUGGAGUUGACCUUCAAGGUUAAAGAAAUUGCUUCAUUCACUACAAGGGAUGCAUCUAAAAUUUGUCUCUCCUCUACAAAGGCGUUCCGAAACUUAGAAACCACUUUUUCCCACCACUUGCUUUAAUCUAUUUGCCAACACCUUUGCCAAAAGUUUGUAAAGACCCUAUUAAACCUAUUAGUCUAAAAUCUUUCAAAUCCUCUACACCCCCCUUCUUUAGGAUUAAAGACAAAAAAGUAACAUUUAAACUUCUUUCGAGCUUGCCAUUAGCUUUUGGUUAAUAAUUCAAAUGGGGGGGAUAACAAUGAGAGGAGUUAAGUCCAAUUUUGAGGAGAUGUUACCUUUGUGUAUCCUUAAUGGACUCAUACCUUUGUGUAUAAUUUUCCUUGUAUAUAUAGUGUAGGUGUUUAGUCUUACUUUGAUUAGGAUUUUGUAUUUUGUGAGAAAGAGCUCUCAUAUUUCUUUUGUACCUUUUUCAUAGUUAAUAUAUCUUAUGUUCCUAAUAAAUAAAUAUAUACAUAUAUAUAUAUAUAUAUAUAUAUAUAUAUAUAUAUAUAUAUAUAUAUAUAUAUAUAUAUAUAUUAAUGAAAGGAGUUAUAUGGCAAGGUGCAUAGGUUGUAUACAAGAUAAAAGUGAAAAUAUAAUUAUGUAUUUUUUAAUCGAAGUACUCAAUUAUAUUAGGUUUAUUUCAUAUAAAUAUAUUUUGAGUUUAUUAUUUAUGUAAUUUUUUAUUAAUAUUUGUUGGAAAAAUAAUUAAUACUUAUUAAAAAAAUUUAAAGGCAAUACUUACUAAAUUUUUUUUAAGAAAUACCGACCCUAAACUAAAAAGGGUAUAAUUGAAGUUCAUAAGAGAUCAAAAUUUCAAUUACAAAUUUGGUGACCGUUUUGAAUACUUGUCAACUAAUUAUAAAUAUUUUGGAUAAUUUUUCCAUGGCCAAAUUGAAAGAAAGGCAAAUAAUUAAAGAGAUUGGAAUGGAUCUCUACUUCUCUAGAGAGGAACCCGCCAUUGAAAUUAUUGAAUGCAGCCAAAAGAAUCAAUUAAUGUGAUGGAGAUUCGUCUUUGUCUUUGAUACAAAUUGGUGAGUAAAUGUCCAUAUGAGAAUAGAUUUGAAAUGGAGGGAACUUAAUAUGAAAAGAAUUGGGAUUUAUUUUGAUCUAUGUAUCAUGUUCUGAGAAUUUUGAGAAGCUGUUUGUUGAAGAAGUGUGAAAUUGAUUCCUCGACUUCUUUGGAUAUGAGACCAUGAUUUAGAUUCUUGAUUCUGUUGCUUUUCUUUUAAGAACUCUGUAUUUUCUACUCUCCUUCUAGAUCACUAGGGUAAGAAAUCUUGAAGAAGGAUUGUAAACCAACAUUUAAUUCUUAUGCUCUUUAUAAUUGGUUAGGCAAAUGACUUGGGUUUCAGCUCAUGAAUCUAAAAAUAUACCACAUGAAAGGCCUCUUCUUUUUUGAAAGACGCAAUACAAGCUUUUACAAGAGUGCAAUAUAUAACAUAUUCGAAAGAACAAUACUUUGAAGGGAUUGUCCAAAUUAAUAAAACAGAAUACCAAGUCAAAAUAACAACUUUACAUCAGAAGAGAGGACCCUCAGCUAGCAUGACCUAGCAGCUCACCCAACAUUAUCAUGGAAAACGGUUUUGACAAUGGUGGCCACUAUAUUGAGAGUGCUCGACCAAGUUGUUGCAUAGUUGGCCGAGAUUAGGGAUUAACACGCAAGCAUGCAAAUGCUAACUUCACUACAACAACUACUUCCUCAGCCACUUGAUUCACAGGAGGUGAGGAGCGCUGGUCCAUCACAUCAUUCAAUAGGUGAUGGUCCACAGUUGAUGGUGAUGAGGAUGAUGAGGACGCUGAUGAUAACAGGGACGAGAUGAGUUCUCCAGGAUGCCUUCCCAUAAUUACUUCCAAUGUGACCACUCCGAAGCUAUAAACAUCAGUUUUAUUAUCAACCUUCAUCGUGUAAGCAAGUUCUACAAAGAAGAUUUGACCAUGCUUUGUUCUGCUAAGCAAUUAUAAUAGUCAUAUAUGAUGUAUAGAGGCAGUUUAGAGGCAAGCAAGGAACUAAUAAAAUUGUACCUAGAGUAGUAUAACCAAAAGUUCCUGCAAAUGAAGUCCAAUUAGAUGAGUCCAACUUUAAAAGCCUAGUCGUGCCAAAGUCAAAUACAUGAGCCUCAUAUUCUGAAUCUAACAAAACAUUGUUGCUCGAUAUGUCUCGAUGAACUAUAGGAGGUGAGCAAUCAUGGUGCAUGUAAGAUAAAGCUUUAGCCAUGCCUUUAACAUUGUUUAGCCUCACAAUCCAAUCUAAUUUUUCUACUUCUUCGUCGUUGCUUAGAAUGUUUCGCAAGCUCCCCUUUUCCAUAAACUCAUAAACCAAAAAUGAGAUCUCUGCAAAUGAACUGAAGCCAUAAAGCUUAACGAUGUUGCAAUGCCUUAUAUGUGUUAAAGCAUGAAUCUUGCUUUUGAGAGCUUUCAAAUCAGCCAUAUCUCCAUCUUGUGAUGAGUGAAGUUUUUUCACAGCAACAACCUGACCUGUUGGCAACUCAGCUUUGUAAACAGUACCAUAUCCUCCAGUGCCGAUACACUGUUUCGAACUGAAAUUGUCGGUCCCCUGUAUGAUGUGCUCAUACAACAAUUCUCCAUCAUGGGCCCAUAUUGCAAAUAGAUCUUCAACAUCUGCUUAUGGAGACUUGGUUUUUCUUUUCCUCAAUUUUUGGAAAAGAAAAUAAAUGCCAAUAAUAAAAGAAAAUAAGAACAAUAGAGUGCUCACAGUGAGGAGCACUAUGAUCAAAACAGAAAACUUGUUGGCCCUCUUUCGACUAGCACUAUAUAGCUUGAGAUGAGUGACAUCAUUUCCACACAGACCUUUAUUAUUUUUGAAUGCCUCAAAUGGAGCGAAAGCUUUGAUGUUGGGGAGAGGACCUUCCAACUGAUUGUAGGAUAUAUUAGCAACUAUCAGGCUUAUGAGAUCAUCAAAAGUGUGUGGGAUGGUGCCAAAGAGCCCGUUAUGGGAGAGAUUCAACGUUUCCAGGUUCUGUAAUUCUCCAAGCAGUGGUGGAACCUCUCCUAUCAACAUAUUUUGACUAAGAUCGAGACUUUCAAGAUGAUACACCAUUCCAAUUUCGUCAGGAAUGCUAUC